rnacentral:rRNA from 1 species
GAUGAACGCUAGCGGCAGGCCUAAUACAUGCAAGCUGAACGGUAAAUAUUGUAGCAAUACGAUAUGAGAGUAGCGUAAGGGUGCGUAACACGUAUGCAAUCUACCCGCAACAGGAGGAUAGCUCCCCGAAAGGGGAAUUAAUACUCCAUAAUAUCACGAGAGGGCAUCUGAUUGUGAUUAAACUCCAAGGGGUUGCGGAUGAGCAUGCGUCUGAUUAGUUAGUUGGUGAGGUAACGGCUCACCAAGACGAUGAUCAGUAGGGGAACUGAGAGGUUGAUCCCCCACACUGGCACUGAGAUACGGGCCAGACUCCUACGGGAGGCAGCAGUAGGGAAUAUUGGUCAAUGGGUGAGAGCCUGAACCAGCCAUGCCGCGUGCAGGAAGAAAGCCUUCUGGGUUGUAAACUGCUUUUGCCAGGGGAUAAAAUACCCAUGCGUGGGGAAUUGAAGGUACCUGGUGAAUAAGCCACGGCUAACUACGUGCCAGCCGCCGCAGUAAGAC